rnacentral:lncRNA from 1 species
AGGAAUCAGCGAAAAAACGACUGCUCUGGUAGAACCGCAAAUCGGCCCAGAGCUCCCCUCGGCGUCCAGUUUCACUGCCACUUUGAGCGAUCACAAAAGAUCACGAAAGGCCCCGGGGAACUCCGGGUGCUGAUUAGAAACAGGCGAGGAGCCCGGCCAGGCGUGCGUUUCCCAUUUCCUCCCCAGGGCUGCCAAGCACUCAUCGGCAUCCGCCCCGGGCUGUUCCAGGAACCCGACCCACCCCAGGCCCCGGAGGACAGGCCUGGGUCGGGACAGCGCCCAGCAGGCCAGGUGUCACGGGCAGAGGAGUGGGGUGGGGACACAGGCCCAUGUGAUUCGCAGGCCCCUCCUGCCUGCCCUCCCCCUCCCCACAUCCUGGGCAAGCUGGAGCCAGAGGUUGCCGGGCACAAGCCCCUUCCGGAAGCAUCCGAGACACGGGGCCCCUCCAUUGAGCACGUGGACACGGAUGUGGAAGAGGUCUGCUGCCUGCAGUCACCAGGACCGAAUCUGUAUCUAAACCUUCCCUUCCAGAGUUUUCCCAUCCGUAAGUCCUCUCCUGAGUCUCUGUGGGUGCUACUGCUGCCGUCCUGGCUCUCUCCUGGUCUUACGGUGCCUGAGACCCUCGGUCCCGCGGGGCACACACGACCGCCUUCACUGUGCGGCUUCCUGAAGUCCUCCACACAGGACAUAAUCUCGCCGUCUCGCACUUUAUGAGCCUUUCCCUGGUAGAUUGUUAGGUUGUUCCCAAUCGUUUAUUAUCCUGACUUUUCAAGUAUCUGGGAGUAUCCUUGUAGGAAAGAAAAUAUUAAACUCAGACCCGCUGGAUCAAAGGCUGUGAGCUUUUAAAAUCUGAGAGCUAUUUCCAACUUGCCCAUUAAAAAGCCCCUAUUUAUACCCCAGCCUCCAGAGCACCCCUGUUCUCGUCCU